rnacentral:tRNA from 1 species
UUAGUUAAAACCAAAUAGAGGUGAAUUAUUGUUAAUAAUUUUAGUGAUAUAAAUAUCUAACUAAU